GCCGCGGUAGCUCAGUUUGGGAGAGCACCCGGCUGAAGACCGGGUUGUCGAGUGUUCAAAUCACCCCCGCGGCACCA
rnacentral:tRNA from 1 species